rnacentral:rRNA from 1 species
CCCUUCGAUGUUCUGGGCCGCACGCGCGCUACACUGAUGCAUUCAACGAGCCUAUCCUUGACCGACAGGUCCGGGUAAUCUUUGAAUCUGCAUCGUGACGGGGAUAGAUUAUUGCAAUUAUUAAUCUUCAACGAGGAAUGCCUAGUAGGCGCAAGUCAUCAGCUUGCGUCGAUUACGUCCCUGCCCUUUGUACACACCGCCCGUCGCUCCUACCGAUUGGGUGUGCUGGUGAAAUGUUCGGAUCGGCCGUUUGUCGCGGUUUCCGCGUCAUGUGGCUGAGAAGUUCAUUAAACCCUCCCACCGAGAGGAAGGAGAAGUCGUAACA